GAAUUGACGGGGGCCCGCACAAGCGGUGGAGCAUGUGGUUUAAUUUGAUGCAACGCGAAGAACCUUACCUGGUCUUGACAUCCACGGAAGUUUUCAGAGAUGAGAAUGUGCCUUCGGGAACCGUGAGACAGGUGCUGCAUGGCUGUCGUCAGCUCGUGUUGUGAAAUGUUGGGUUAAGUCCCGCAACGAGCGCAACCCUUAUCCUUUGUUGCCAGCGGUCCGGCCGGGAACUCAAAGGAGACUGCCAGUGAUAAACUGGAGGAAGGUGGGGAUGACGUCAAGUCAUCAUGGCCCUUACGACCAGGGCUACACACGUGCUACAAUGGCGCAUACAAAGAGAAGCGACCUCGCGAGAGCAAGCGGACCUCAUAAAGUGCGUCGUAGUCCGGAUUGGAGUCUGCAACUCGACUCCAUGAAGUCGGAAUCGCUAGUAAUCGUGGAUCAGAAUGCCACGGUGAAUACGUUCCCGGGCCUUGUACACACCGCCCGUCACACCAUGGGAGUGGGUUGCAAAGGAAGUAGGUAGCUUAACCUUCGGGAGGGCGCUUACCACUUUGUGA
rnacentral:rRNA from 1 species